rnacentral:rRNA from 1 species
CCUACGGGAGGCAGCAGUGGGGGAUAUUGCACAAUGGGGGGAACCCUGAUGCAGCGACGCAGCGUGGGUGAAGGAGCGUUUCGGCGCGUACAGCCCUAUCGGCAGGGAAGAAGAAGGACGGAACCUGACUAAGAAGCCCCGGCUAACUACGUGCCAGCAGCCGCGGUAAUACGUAGGGGGCAAGCGUUAUCCGGAGUUACUGGGGGUAAAGGGGGGGCAGACGGCAGCGCAAGCCAGUAGUGAAAGCGAGGGGCCCAACCCCGGGACUGCUCUUGAAACUGCGCGGCUGGAGUGCAGGAGGGGCAGGCGGAAUUCCUGGUGUAGCGGUGAAAUGCGUAGAUAUCAGGAGGAACACCGGUGGCGAAGGCUGCCUGCUGGACUGCGACUGACGUUGAGGCCCGAAAGCGUGGGGAGCAAACAGGAUUAGAUACCCCAGUAGUC